rnacentral:lncRNA from 1 species
AUUAUUUGUCGGCCUAACCGUUCCGCCGGACGCACCGACAUGAGUGCAUCGACAGGAGAAAGAUAGCAAGUACCAGGCUAAAACAACAGCGAGUCUUACCCCCAAAAGUUUACACCAUUGAUUUAUGUACUUUCAUAACCUCAUGGACGAGUACUUUUUUUCCAUUCCUUCUCAUUCUGCAGUACCUGCAAGACAGGUUUAGUAAAAGAAGGCAAAAACGAGAAGAUUAGAAACCGAUAAAGAAAUUAAGGAGUAGGUUUUUUUAAAAAAAAAAAACAUUAGGAGAUGGAACUGAGCUUUAGAUCUAUUUAGUUGAUAAAUGAGAAAAACCCGUUAGAUAAUAUAACAGUUAAAUUGAUAAAUGAGAAAAACCCGUUAGAUAAUAUAACAGUUAAAAUCCACAUGUCAAAAUCAUAAAUUUUAAGGGAAGCGAAAGACAUGUCCUCCAUUAUUAUCUUUGACAUCCAAAAUUGUAUAUACCUGAAAUUUGCAACCAACUUUAGACACAAAAUGGUUAUGUAGUUAUGGACAGAAAAUCAAAUCGAGUUUUAACAGAUCAUCUAUUUGGUAUGUGUAUUAUUCACAUAAAUCGACCUUGUGUUUAGCUUGCCGUUUUGGAAAUAUGAAAAUGAAAUGCUCACCUCGUUAUCAAUAGGCACUGGGAGGUCCGAGAGAUGAACAACUUUUCUUCACCAGUAUAAGCACCGUAGGCAGACAUUAAAAAAAGAUAAAUCGAUUUAUUAGAGAAGGAAAAUUGUUAUGCAUAAAGAUACGCUAUGCAUCUAGAUAUGUUUCUUGAAAGGACAUAUCUAGGUAUUCAGAGAGGAUGAAUAGAAAAUCUAUCUCUAUUCUCUUCGACCUAGUUUCCGAAGAACCUCUCGGAACCUAUCACUUUUCUCUCUCUUUGUGCUUCUUGGUUUUCUUUGGUAGCCGAAUGCAAGUAUAUA